CACAUAGCCAGCUGGGGACUUAGGAAAUAUGGAUGGAUAAUGAUGCUUAUGUUGAGGUGUUGGGGAGAAGAGGACAAUUUUUUUCCUGUUAGAACAUUUUCUUAUGAAAUCAGAUUCUGUGAAGCAAGAAGUAAUUCAAGAAGAAACGAGACAGCCCACCUUCCUGAGGUUUCCUUCCCACAUUUUACACAUGGGCAACUGAUGUCCAGAAAGAUGAAGUCAUUGAUGAAGGUGACAAGUCAAUUGGGAAAAGAGCAAGGACUAGAAUCUUGUGACUCUAAUGAAAACACAAGACCAGGAAUCAUGUGGUUCUAUACUUUUAUGGAAAGUAUAUGAUUUGGAAGACUGGACUCUAAUUUCAUCUCUGCCCUAAAUCCUAAAAUU